rnacentral:lncRNA from 1 species
UUUGACUUUGUUAAAUUAAUAUCAUUGGAUUUAGGGGAUUGAUGGAAUGUACAUUCCAUCUCCCAAAAUGAAUUAAUGAUAUUAAUUUGGCAAAAGUCCUUCUUUGACCAAUUUGUGAUCUCAUUCAUCCCCUUCCCUCUUCAUCUAAUUCCCCUUCUUCAUUCAUUCAUUUCCAAUUGGUCAAUGACAUCUCAAAGUCCUAAUUCUAGUUAAUUGAAAGAUUAGCAUGAGUAUGGAUGAGAUUAG